rnacentral:rRNA from 1 species
CACGUAGGCGGCCUGGUAAGUCAGAUGUGAAAGCCCGGGGCUUAACCCCGGAAGUGCAUUUGAUACUGUCAGGCUUGAGUAUGGGAGAGGGAAGUGGAAUUCCUGGUGUAGAGGUGAAAUUCGUAGAUAUCAGGAGGAACACCGGCGGCGAAGGCGACUUCCUGGACCAAUACUGACGCUGAGGUGCGAAGGCGUGGGUAGCAAACA